CAAGGCCGCUCCAAAGUCCACCUGAAGCCAUUAGAAAGGCACUCUUGAUCUACUGCUCUGAAGAGUUGCCCCCAUCCAUGUGUUCAUCUCUCAGUCUGAAGGAGAACUGCAGGCAGAGAAGACACAAAGAAGCACAAAGAAGACUGAGGGUCUGGAAGCACCAGGAACCCAAGCACACCUGGAAGCAGCUCUGUGAUGCUUUAGACAGUGAUUAUUGCUUAAGACACCAUCUCUUUGAAGAGUAUACUGUGCAAUAAUGCAAUCAUUCUCCAUUUCAGGAAACAUCUGUGUGAGGCACAUCUGCUCCUGAUGGCUGGCAAACAUCCUGACGAGGGGAAUCAUCUUGGCAUCCAGCAAGUGCCACCUCAUUUGUCACCAUGGUGCCUGUGCUGCCCCCACAGUUCCUUCUGUCUCGCUUUCUCUGACCCUUGGCUCUGUAUAAGUUCAUAAAAAAAGGGAUUUGUCUUCACAGCUCCUGCAAUUCUCUUUAUUGCUGAU